rnacentral:tRNA from 1 species
GCCGGUUAGCUCAGUUGGUUAGAGCGUCGUGCUAAUAACGCGAAUGUCGCUGGGUUCGAUCCCGCGUACUGGCG